GACGAACGCUGGCGGCGCGCUUAACACAUGCAAGUCGAGCGAUGAAAUCUUAACAGAACCCUUCGGGGUGAAGAUAAGACGGAUUAGCGGCGGACGGGUGAGUAACACGUGAGUAACCUGCCUUUUACACAGGGAUAGCCUCAGGAAACCGGGAUUAAAACCUGAUGAAGCUAUCAAAUCACAUGAUUAAGAAAGUUAAAACUCCGGUGGUAAAAGAUGGACUCGCGUCCCAUUAGCUAGUUGGUGAAGGUAACGGCCCACCAAGGCAACGAUGGGUAGCCGGCCUGAGAGGGUGAACGGCCACAGUGGAACUGAGAAACGGUCCAAACUCCUACGGGAGGCAGCAGUGGGGAAUAUUGCACAAUGGGGGAAACCCUGAUGCAGCGACGCCGCGUGAGCGAAGAAGGCCUUCGGGUCGUAAAGCUCUUUUAUAUGGGAAGAUAAUGACGGUACCAUAAGAAAAAGCCCCGGCUAACUACGUG
rnacentral:rRNA from 1 species